rnacentral:rRNA from 1 species
CGUCUCAGUUCGGAUUGUAGUCUGCAACUCGACUACAUGAAGCUGGAAUCGCUAGUAAUCGCAGAUCAGAAUGCUGCGGUGAAUACGUUCCCGGGUCUUGUACACACCGCCCGUCACACCAUGGGAGUCGGAAAUGCCCGAAGCCAGUGACCCAACCUUAGGGAGGGAGCUGUCGAAGGUGGAGCCGGUAACUGGGGUGAAGUCGUAACAAGGUAAC